rnacentral:tRNA from 1 species
GGUAGUGUGUUGCCGAGUGGUCUAAGGCGCUGGAUUUAGGCUCCAGUCUCUCUGGAGGCGUGGGUUCAAAUCCCACCACUGCCA